rnacentral:rRNA from 1 species
UACGUAGGGCGCAAGCGUUGUCCGGAAUCAUUGGGCGUAAAGCGCGUGUAGGCGGUUCGGUAAGUCGGCUGUGAAAGUCCAGGGCUCAACCCUGGGAUGCCGGUCGAUACUGCCGGACUAGAGUUCGGAAGAGGCGAGUGGAAUUCCCGGUGUAGCGGUGAAAUGCGCAGAUAUCGGGAGGAACACCAAUGGCGAAGGCAGCUCGCUGGGACGUUACGUGACGCUGAGAGCGAAAGCGUGGGGAGCAAACAGGGAU